AGAGUUUGAUCCUGGCUCAGAUUGAACGCUGGCGGCAGGCCUAACACAUGCAAGUCGAGCGGAUGAAGGGAGCUUGCUCCCUGAUUUAGCGGCGGACGGGUGAGUAAUGCCUAGGAAUCUGCCUGGUAGUGGGGGAUAACGUUCCGAAAGGAACGCUAAUACCGCAUACGUCCUACGGGAGAAAGCAGGGGACCUUCGGGCCUUGCGCUAUCAGAUGAGCCUAGGUCGGAUUAGCUAGUUGGUGAGGUAAUGGCUCACCAAGGCGACGAUCCGUAACUGGUCUGAGAGGAUGAUCAGUCACACUGGAACUGAGACACGGUCCAGACUCCUACGGGAGGCAGCAGUGGGGAAUAUUGGACAAUGGGCGAAAGCCUGAUCCAGCCAUGCCGCGUGUGUGAAGAAGGUCUUCGGAUUGUAAAGCACUUUAAGUUGGGAGGAAGGGCAUUAACCUAAUACGUUAGUGUUUUGACGUUACCGACAGAAUAAGCACCGGCUAACUUCGUGCCAGCAGCCGCGGUAAUACGAAGGGUGCAAGCGUUAAUCGGAAUUACUGGGCGUAAAGCGCGCGUAGGUGGUUCGUUAAGUUGGAUGUGAAAGCCCCGGGCUCAACCUGGGAACUGCAUCCAAAACUGGCGAGCCAGAGUACGGUAGAGGGUGGUGGAAUUUCCUGUGUAGCGGUGAAAUGCGUAGA
rnacentral:rRNA from 1 species